rnacentral:rRNA from 1 species
AACGCAAAUGAACUCGGAAACAUUGAGGAAAGCUCGAGCCAGAGUUCUCUUUUCUGGUUAAGGAACGGACUCCCUGGAAUCGGUUCAGCCGGAGAUAGGGAUGUUGUUUCCGUAAAGCGCCACGGUUCCUGUGGUGUCUCGUGCGCUUUGUUCGAUCCAUGAAAAUCCGAGGGAAGCUAUUUGAAUUUCGUGCCAGAUCGUACCCAUAUCCGCAGCAGGUCUCCAAGGUGAACAGCCUCUAGUCGAUAGAAUAAUGUAGGUAAGGGAAGUCGGCAAAUUAGAUCCGUAACUUCGGGAUAAGGAUUGGCUCUAAGGACUGGGCCGGUCGGGCUGUAAUGUGAAGUGAGUACGGUUUGAUCCAUGCAGUGUAACAUUAAAAUGAAAACAUUAAAAAAAAAAAAUGUAUUCAUUUUGAUGAAACUCGGCUAGUGUUCGAACUGUCUUAUGGAUCGUUUCAGCUGCAUAUCAACAUUUAUUUUUUUAUUUUUUUUUUUAAAAAAGUAAAUGUUUUAUUUGAUAUUUCGGCCGGCGUUAAACAGUCAACUUAGAACUGGCACGGACUCGGGGAAUCCGACUGUCUAAUUAAAACAGAGGAGACAGAUGGCCCUUGCGGGCGUUGACUGUCUCUGAUUUCUGCCCAGUGCUCUGAAUGUAAAAGUGAAGAAAUUCAACCAAGCGCGGGUAAACGGCGGGAGUAACUAUGACUCUCUUAAGGUAGCCAAA